GGCCUCCUGGUGCUUACCAGAGGCUGUUUUCAUUGACUGUAUAGAAAAGAGGAGGCAGAGCAAACCUGCCCCACUGUGCCUGGUCUGUAUUGUGAAUGGGGAAAUGGGG
rnacentral:snoRNA from 1 species